CAGGAUGAACGCUGGCGGCGUGCUUAACACAUGCAAGUCGAACGGACAUAAGACACCGCUUCUGAUUAGUUCGCUAAUGAAGGAGCACCGUUUAUGUUAGUGGCGGACGGGUGAGUAACGCGUGGGCAACCUGCCUUUAUCCGGGGGAUAACAGUUAGAAAUGACUGCUAAUACCGCAUAAGCGCACACUGGGGCAUCCCAGAGUGUGAAAAACUCCGGUGGAUAGAGAUGGACCCGCGUUAGAUUAGCCAGUUGGCGGGGUAACGGCCCACCAAAGCGACGAUCUAUAGCCGGCCUGAGAGGGCGACCGGCCACAUUGGGACUGAGACACGGCCCAAACUCCUACGGGAGGCAGCAGUGGGGAAUAUUGCACAAUGGGGGAAACCCUGAUGCCAGCGACGCCGCGUGAGUGAAGAAGUAUUUCGGUAUGUAAAGCUCUAUCAGCAGGGAAGAAAACGACGGUACCUGCACAAGAAGCCCCGGCUAACUACGUGCCAGCCGCCGC
rnacentral:rRNA from 1 species